rnacentral:rRNA from 1 species
AGUGAACGCUGGCGGUAGGCCUAACACAUGCAAGUCGAACGGCAGCACAGUAAGAGCUUGCUCUUACGGGUGGCGAGUGGCGGACGGGUGAGGAAUACAUCGGAAUCUACUUUUUCGUGGGGGAUAACGUAGGGAAACUUACGCUAAUACCGCAUACGACCUACGGGUGAAAGCAGGGGAUCUUCGGACCUUGCGCGAUUGAAUGAGCCGAUGUCGGAUUAGCUAGUUGGCGGGGUAAGGGCCCACCAAGGCGACGAUCCGUAGCUGGUCUGAGAGGAUGAUCAGCCACACUGGAACUGAGACACGGUCCAGACUCCUACGGGAGGCAGCAGUGGGGAAUAUUGGACAAUGGGCGCAAGCCUGAUCCAGCCAUACCGCGUGGGUGAAGAAGGCCUUCGGGUUUUAAAGCCCUUUUGUUGGGAAAGAAAAGCAGCAGGUUAAUACCCCGCUGUUCUGACGGUACCCAAAGAAUAAGCACCGGCUAACUUCGUG